rnacentral:rRNA from 1 species
UACGUAGGGUGCGAGCGUUGUCCGGAAUUAUUGGGCGUAAAGAGCUCGUAGGCGGUCUGUCGCGUCGAUCGUGAAAACUUGGGGCUUAACCCUGAGCUUGCGGUCGAUACGGGCAUGACUGGAGUUCGGCAGGGGAGACUGGAAUUCCUGGUGUAGCGGUGAAAUGCGCAGAUAUCAGGAGGAACACCGGUGGCGAAGGCGGCAUCCUGGACCGACAUUGACGCUGAGGAGCGAAAGCUAGGGGAGCAAACGGG